AUGCAGUCAUUUCUCAGAGUUUGUGAACUAGGACUGCACAGGACUGUACGGGCAGGUACUUAUUCUUCUCCAAGAAGGGGGGUUACCAGGGGAGGAGGGGCAUACAGAGGCAGGGCACAAAUGGACAUGCAAAUGUAUAGAGGUCACGCCGUCGUGGCUGCACUGGUUCUCCUUACCACCGUCACUGCAGCAAGCCCAACUGGCUACUGGGGUUACCUCUGUGAUGGUGGGAACUACAGUGCGCCCAGCAAGUACCAGCAGAACCUUGAACAGCUCUCCGCCACGCUGCCUGAAGCAGUCGCCUCCUCCCCCUCUUUGUUCCACACGCAGGCAGUUGGCUCCAGCCAAGAUAGAGCAUAUGCUCUGGCAAGAUGCCGCGGCGACACAGAGGCCGACGACUGCAAGAGGUGCCUUACACAGGCCUUCAAGGAUGUCCGGGCUGUUUGCACGUUCAGGAAGGGUAUUUCCAUCUACUACGACACGUGCAGCCUCUGGUUCGCUGAGAAGAUCAAAAUUCAUCUUGGAGAUUUGCAGUCAGUUCUUAGGGCGGAUGGUCCCCCUAUACCUACCCAAUGCAAGGCCUUCCAGAACGAUGCCAGUACACUUAUCGCAGAUGUGGCGAGGAAGGCAUCAUAUUCUUCUCAAAGACAUGCCACGGGAGAAAAGGGUCGUGAUGAGCGUGCCUGCAACUACACACUAUACACUCUUGCUGACUGUCUACCUGGAAUUUCAGCUGCUCAGUGUCAGGUCUGUUUGGAAGAUCUAACCUCUACACCAGGCCUGAGUGGUGGGCAAAUGGGUGAGCGAAAGGCUACCCUAUUGUGCAGUUACCGUUUGGAGCCUUAUCAGUUCUUCAGGGAUACAAAAGAUAGCAGCAAACAGCAUGACACCAUCAUUGCUGCCAAAGCUGCUUUUGCCAAGCCAUUCUUCAUGGAGGCUAAACAUCCUUCUGCGAUAGAUUCCUUCAACAAAAUCACAACCAACUGGCAGGGCAAGACGAUAGCCCUCUUCUUGGACUACGACGGAACCCUAGCGCCAAAAGUAGAUAAUCCUGACGAGGCAUACAUGUCCAGUGAGAUGCGCGAAGUUGUUCAAGAACUUGCCUCCUUGUGCGCCACUUCAGUCGUCAGUGGAAGGGCCCGCGAUAAGGCGGAAAAUUUCGUAAUGAUCGAAAACCUGCACUAUGCAGGGAACCACGGAGCAGAAAUCAAACUCAUUAACGAAACAGAAGCAUACGAACCUGCCCGCGAGUACGUGCCUGUUAUAAAUCAGGCAAGAGAGCGUUUGGAGGAGGCUAUCAAAGAAAUAAAGGGUGCAAGCAUUGAACAUAAGAAAUUCGGGAUUUCCGUGCACUACCGGUGUGUUGAGAAGGAGGAACGGGAACUGGUUAAGAAGCUUGCCAAGCAAACCAUUAAAGGUUUCUCUGAGCUCACAGUAACUAAGGGUGACAAGGUUGUUGAAGUUCGUCCUAAGGCUGAAUUCAACAAGGGGUUUGCAGUCAAGUAUAUACUCGAGCAGCUAGCCCGCAAAAACAAUUGGGACAGUUCUCAGGUGGUCGCUAUCUUUAUUGGUGACGAUAAGACAGAUGAAGAUGCAUUCAAGGUGCUUCGUAAACGAGUUGGCGGACUGGGGAUCCUUGUCAACAAGAAACGCAAGUGGACCAAAGCCUCGUAUUCCCUUGAAGACCCGGUUCAGGUGCAAAAAUUUCUUCAGAUGCUCGUGAACUGGAAGAAGAAGGCAGAGGCUGAAGUUUGA
rnacentral:rRNA from 1 species